rnacentral:tRNA from 2 species
GGGGAUUUAGCUCAGUGGUAGAGCGUUUGCCUCGCAAGCACAAGGCCCUGGGUUCAAUCCCCAGCUCCCCCC